rnacentral:rRNA from 1 species
UACGUAGGGGGCAAGCGUUGUCCGGAAUCAUUGGGCGUAAAGAGCGUGUAGGCGGCUUGGUAAGUCCGCUGUGAAAGUCCAGGGCUCAACCCUGGAAAGCCGGUGGAAACUGUCAAGCUUGAGUCCGGAAGAGGCGAGUGGAAUUCCUGGUGUAGCGGUGAAAUGCGCAGAUAUCAGGAGGAACACCAAUGGCGAAGGCGGCACUCUGGGACGGUACUGACGCUGAGACGCGAAAGCGUGGGGAGCGAACAGG